UACGGGGGGGGCAAGCGUUGUUCGGAAUUACUGGGCGUAAAGGGCUCGUAGGCGGCCAACUAAGUCAGACGUGAAAUCCCUUGGCUUAACCGGGGAACUGCGUCUGAUACUGGAUGGCUUGAGUUUGGGAGAGGGAUGCGGAAUUCCAGGUGUAGCGGUGAAAUGCGUAGAUAUCUGGAGGAACACCGGUGGCGAAGGCGACAUCCUGGACCAACACUGACGCUGAGGAGCGAAAGCCAGGGGAGCAAACGGG
rnacentral:rRNA from 1 species